UACGUAGGGAGCAAGCGUUGUUCGGAUUUACUGGGCGUAAAGGGUGCGUAGGUGGCGCGCUAAGUCAGGUGUGAAAUUUCGGAGCUUAACUCCGAAACUGCAUUUGAUACUGGCGUGCUUGAGGACUGGAGAGGAGACUGGAAUUUACGGUGUAGCAGUGAAAUGCGUAGAGAUCGUAAGGAAGACCAGUGGCGAAGGCGGGUCUCUGGACAGUUCCUGACACUGAGGCACGAAGGCCAGGGGAGCAAACGGG
rnacentral:rRNA from 1 species